AUGCAUGCUCACCUUUGGGCCGCCGAGGCAGAGGAGGAACUCGUGUUCUGGGAGGCAACUCGGGGUUGGGGAGAAGCCCGGCUCGGCUGGUGGGGGGCGGCGGAGGGCGAGGGCGGGUCGCCGGCGUGGCGGCGGCGGCGGGGGUCCUGCGGGAGGGAGGGGAGGGGAAUGGUGGUGGAGCUGGAUGUGUCGCUCGGGAGGGGACUAGACUGGGAUUUUAGCUGCUACUGCUCGAACAACCGGAAAGCUGAUGGACCGAAUGCACCCGUGGGAUCUGAGCCGUCGGAUGGAGAACAGAGGGGUCAGAUGCUACCAGGAGAUGGGAUUUGA
rnacentral:rRNA from 1 species